rnacentral:rRNA from 1 species
GUCGAACGCUUCUUUUUCCACCGGAGCUUGCUCCACCGGAAAAAGAGGAGUGGCGAACGGGUGAGUAACACGUGGGUAACCUGCCCAUCAGAAGGGGAUAACACUUGGAAACAGGUGCUAAUACCGUAUAACAAUCAAAACCGCAUGGUUUUGAUUUGAAAGGCGCUUUCGGGUGUCGCUGAUGGAUGGACCCGCGGUGCAUUAGCUAGUUGGUGAGGUAACGGCUCACCAAGGCCACGAUGCAUAGCCGACCUGAGAGGGUGAUCGGCCACAUUGGGACUGAGACACGGCCCAAACUCCUACGGGAGGCAGCAGUAGGGAAUCUUCGGCAAUGGACGAAAGUCUGACCGAGCAACGCCGCGUGAGUGAAGAAGGUUUUCGGAUCGUAAAACUCUGUUGUUAGAGAAGAACAAGGAUGAGAGUAACUGUUCAUCCCUUGACGGUAUCUAACCAGAAAGCCACGGCUAACUACGUGCCAGCAGCCGCGGUAAUACGUAGGUGGCAAGCGUUGUCCGGAUUUAUUGGGCGUAAAGCGAGCGCAGGCGGUUUCUUAAGUCUGAUGUGAAAGCCCCCGGCUCAACCGGGGAGGGUCAUUGGAAACUGGGAGACUUGAGUGCAGAAGAGGAGAGUGGAAUUCCAUGUGUAGCGGUGAAAUGCGUAGAUAUAUGGAGGAACACACUGGCGAAGCGGCUCUCUGGUCUGUACUGACGCUGAGCUC